rnacentral:rRNA from 1 species
GAUGAACGCUAGCGGCAGGCUUAAUACAUGCAAGUCGAGGGGCAGCACGGCAGCAAUGCUGGUGGCGACCGGCGCACGGGUGCGUAACGCGUAUGCAACCUACCUUUGACAGUGGGAUAGCCCCGAGAAAUCGGGAUUAAUACCGCAUAACAAUGCGAUUUGGCAUCAGAUUGCAUUUAAAACUCCGGUGGUCAAAGAUGGGCAUGCGUGACAUUAGCUGGUUUGGUAAGGUAACGGCUUACCAAGGCGACGAUGUCUAGGGGUUCUGAGAGGAUGAUCCCCCACACUGGUACUGAGACACGGACCAGACUCCUACGGGAGCAGCAGUAAGGAAUAUUGGUCAAUGGGCGCAAGCCUGAACCAGACCAUGCCGCGUGCAGGAAGACGGCCUU